rnacentral:rRNA from 1 species
ACGCACGCCGGCGGCGUGCUUAACACAUGCCAGUCGAACGGAAAGGCCCUGCUUUUGUGGGGUGCUCGAGUGGCGAACGGGUGAGUAACACGUGAGUAACCUGCCCUUGACUUUGGGAUAACUUCAGGAAACUGGGGCUAAUACCGGAUAGGAGCUCCUGCUGCAUGGUGGGGGUUGGAAAGUUUCGGCGGUUGGGGAUGGACUCGCGGCUUAUCAGCUUGUUGGUGGGGUAGUGGCUUACCAAGGCUUUGACGGGUAGCCGGCCUGAGAGGGUGACCGGCCACAUUGGGACUGAGAUACGGCCCAGACUCCUACGGGAGGCAGCAGUGGGGAAUAUUGCACAAUGGGCGGAAGCCUGAUGCAGCAACGCCGCGUGCGGGAUGACGGCCUUCGGGUUGUAAACCGCUUUCGCCUGUGACGAAGCGUGAGUGACGGUAAUGGGUAAAGAAGCACCGGCUAACUACGUG